AUUGAACGCUGGCGGCAUGCCUUACACAUGCAAGUCGAACGGCAGCACGGACUUCGGUCUGGUGGCUAGUGGCGAACGGGUGAGUAAUGUAUCGGAACGUACCUUUCAGUGGGGGAUAACGUAGCGAAAGUUACGCUAAUACCGCAUAUUCUGUGAGCAGGAAAGCAGGGGAUCGAAAGACCUUGCGCUGAUUGAGCGGCCGAUAUCAGAUUAGCUAGUUGGUGGGGUAAAGGCCUACCAAGGCGACGAUCUGUAGCGGGUCUGAGAGGAUGAUCCGCCACACUGGAACUGAGACACGGUCCAGACUCCUACGGGAGGCAGCAGUGGGGAAUUUUGGACAAUGGGGGCAACCCUGAUCCAGCCAUGCCGCGUGAGUGAAGAAGGCCUUCGGGUUGUAAAGCUCUUUCGGCCGGGAAGAAAUCGCAUAGGCUAAUACCCUGUGUGGAUGACGGUACCGGAAUAAGAAGCACCGGCUAACUACGUG
rnacentral:rRNA from 1 species